AAUCAACGCUGGCGGCGUGCCUAACACAUGCAAGUCGAACGCGAAAGGGGAGCAAUCCCUGAGUAGAGUGGCAAACGGGUGAGUAACACGUGGGUGACCUGCCUUCGAGUGGGGGAUAACGUCCCGAAAGGGACGCUAAUACCGCAUGACAUCCUGCUCUUGGAAGAGCGGAGAUCAAAGCUGGGGAUCGCAAGACCUGGCGCUUGAAGAGGGGCCCGCGCCUGAUUAGCUAGUUGGUAGGGUAAUGGCCUACCAAGGCAACGAUCAGUAUCCGGCCUGAGAGGGCGGACGGACACACUGGGACUGAGACACGGCCCAGACUCCUACGGGAGGCAGCAGUGGGGAAUUGUUCGCAAUGGGCGCAAGCCUGACGACGCAACGCCGCGUGGAGGACGAAGAUCUUCGGGUCGUAAACUCCUGUCGAGUGGGAAGAAUGGAUCAGGGGUGAAUAAUCCCUGGUAUUGACGGUACCACUAAAGGAAG
rnacentral:rRNA from 1 species